rnacentral:rRNA from 1 species
AGCAGCCGCGGUAAUUCCAGCUCCAAUAGCGUAUAUUAAAGUUGUUGCAGUUAAAAGCUCGUAGUUGAAUUUCGGGGUCAGUAGGUUGGUCAUGCCACUGGUAUGUACUGGUCUCACUGAUUCCUCCUUCCUGAUGAGCUGUAAUGCCAUUAAUUUGGUGUUGUGGGGAAUCAGGACUGUUACUUUGAAAAAUUUAGAGUGUUUAAAGCAGGCUAACGCCUGAAUACAUUAGCAUGGAAUAAUGAAAUAGGACGUUCGAUCCUAUUUUGUUGGUUUCUAGGAUUGACGUAAUGAUUAAUAGGGAUAGUUGGGGGCGUUAGUAUUUCAUUGUCAGAGGUGAAAUUCUUGGAUUUCUGAAAGACUAACUUCUGCGAAAGCAUUCGCCAAGGAUGUUUUCAUUAAUCAAGAACGAAAGUUAGGGGAUCGAAGACGAUCAGAUACCGUCGUAGUCUUAACCAUAAACUAUGCCGACUAGGGAUCGGACGAAGUUAAUUUUAUAAUGACGCGUUCGGCACCUUACGGGAAACCAAAGUGUUUGGGUU